UUGCUUGAAAAUGAACUGAAGGGCUUCUGACCAGCCCAAAUCUGAAUUCAGAGCUUUAUGUUUCCUACAUACCAGUGAUUAGAGACUAGGAAAGUCAAGGGUGGGCACUGGCGCCAGCAUGCCUCCCUGAAGCUCUUGCCCAGCCCCCCAUGGUGGCCGAGCCCUUGGUACAGCAAACAACUCCAGAGUUGCACCGUCCCUGCUUCCCCUUCAGCCGCCUCCAAUUGUAAACCUUUAACUUCACAUUUCUUGUUUUUAUAAUGCCAGAUUUUGUGACAAUUUGAGCAUUUCUGUCUGUAACUUUUUCACUUGAAUUACUGCUAAACACUGUCUGUCAGUCUUGGCACCAUUUUCAUACAGUUUCCCAUCUGAGAAAUUAAUGAGGAUUUGAGUUUGUCUUCUAUAAAGUAAAGGUUUGUAGGCAUUUGCUGUCAGUCUCCCCAUUGAAUUAAGCAUGGCCAAAACUGGGUUGCUGCUGAUUUCUCAAAGAAGAAAUAAUAAUCUUUGUUCUAAAAAAAUAAAACUGACCUAAAAAUACAGCUGAACUGCUACCUUUGUCUUCUAGUGUAGCAUUUUUUUUUCUUUUAACCUACUGUAAAGCAUAUUUUUAUGAAGCAUAUUAUGCCCAAUCCUGGAAAAGCCUUGGUUCUAAAAAGCAAUAAUCCUUGAAAUAGUACUUAAUCUUGAAGUAGUAACCUUUCCUAAUUUGUAAAAAUUCAAGAUAAUGACAUAAAUAGUGGGAAAAUACUACAAUUUGGUUUCUUUGUCUGGAUAAAAUUCAAUGAUAUAAAACUUU